rnacentral:rRNA from 1 species
ACGGGAGGCAGCAGUAGGGAAUCUUCGGCAAUGGGGGGAACCCUGACCGAGCAACGCCGCGUGAGUGAAGAAGGUUUUCGGAUCGUAAAGCUCUGUUGUAAGAGAAGAACGGGUUUGAGAGUGGAAAGCUCAGACUGUGACGGUAUCUUACCAGAAAGGGACGGCUAACUACGUGCCAGCAGCCGCGGUAAUACGUAGGUCCCGAGCGUUGUCCGGAUUUAUUGGGCGUAAAGCGAGCGCAGGCGGUUGUAUAAGUCAGAAGUAAAAGGCAGUGGCUCAACCAUUGUGUGCUUUUGAAACUGUACAACUUGAGUGCAGAAGGGGAGAGUGGAAUUCCAUGUGUAGCGGUGAAAUGCGUAGAUAUAUGGAGGAACACCGGUGGCGAAAGCGGCUCUCUGGUCUGUAACUGACGCUGAGGCUCGAAAGCGUGGGGAGCGAACAGGAUUAGAUACCCUGGUA